rnacentral:rRNA from 1 species
UACAGAGGGUGCGAGCGUUAAUCGGAAUUACUGGGCGUAAAGCGUGCGCAGGCGGUUUUGUAAGCCAGAUGUGAAAUCCCCGGGCUUAACCUGGGAAUGGCAUUUGGGACUGCAAGGCUGGAGUUUGGCAGAGGAGACUGGAAUUCCCGGUGUAGCAGUGAAAUGCGUAGAUAUCGGGAGGAAUACCGAUGGCGAAGGCAGGUCUCUGGGCUAUAACUGACGCUCAUGCACGAAAGCGUGGGGAGCAAACAGG